AUUGAACGCUGGCGGCAGGCCUAACACAUGCAAGUCGAGCGGAUGAAGGGAGCUUGCUCCUGGAUUCAGCGGCGGACGGGUGAGUAAUGCCUAGGAAUCUGCCUGGUAGUGGGGGAUAACGUCCGGAAACGGGCGCUAAUACCGCAUACGUCCUGAGGGUGAAAGUGGGGGAUCUUCGGACCUCACGCUCUCAGAUGAGCCUAGGUCGGAUUAGCUAGUUGGUGGGGUAAAGGCCUACCAAGGCGACGAUCCGUAACUGGUCUGAGAGGAUGAUCAGUCACACUGGAACUGAGACACGGUCCAGACUCCUAAGAGAGGCAGCAGAGGGGAAUGUGGGACAGUGGGCGAAAGCCUGAUCCAGCCAUGCCGCGUGUGUGAAGAAGGUCUUCGGAUUGUAAAGCACUUUAAGUUGGGAGGAAGGGCAGUAAGUUAAUACCUUGCUGUUUUGACGUUAACAACAGAAUAAGCACCGGCUAACUACGUG
rnacentral:rRNA from 1 species